rnacentral:rRNA from 1 species
ACCUGCCUCACCACCUGAGAAAACCACAUCACAGAAGAUAAGCAGGGUUGGGCCUGGUCAGUACCUGGAUGGGAAAUCACUCAGGAAUACCUGGGGAGGAAGCGU